UACGGAGGGUGCGAGCGUUGUCCGGAAUCAUUGGGCGUAAAGGGCGCGUAGGUGGCGGGACAAGCGUGCGGUGAAAGCCUGGGGCUCAACCCCGGGUCGGCCGUGCGAACUGUUUUGCUUGAGCACUGUAGAGGCAGGCGGAAUUCCGGGUGUAGCGGUGGAAUGCGUAGAGAUCGGGAGGAACACCUGUGGCGAAGGCGGCCCCCUGGGCCGGCCCUGACACUGAGACGCGAAGGCGUGGGGAGCGAACGGG
rnacentral:rRNA from 1 species